rnacentral:rRNA from 1 species
AUACGGAGGGUGCAAGCGUUAAUCGGAAUUACUGGGCGUAAAGCGUACGUAGGCGGCUCGUUAAGUUAGAUGUGAAAGCCCCGGGCUUAACCUGGGAACUGCAUUUAAAACUGGCGAACUAGAGUUGAGUAGAGGGGAGUGGAAUUUCAGGUGUAGCGGUGAAAUGCGUAGAGAUCUGAAGGAACACCAGUGGCGAAGGCGACUCCCUGGACUCGAACUGACGCUGAGGUACGAAAGCGUGGGUAGCAAACGGAAGUAGAUACCCUAGUAGUCC